CGUAGGUGACCUGCGGAAGGAUCAUUAUCGAAUAAACUUGAGCAGGCUGUUGCUGGCCCCCUAGGGGUAUUGUGCACGCUUGUCAUCUUUAUUUCUCCAACUGUGCACAUAUUGUAGACCUGGAGUUUUUUGUUGAUUUGUUUCGAGUUGGGACUGCUGCUGUGAAGUCAGCUUUGCCUUGCAUUUCCCCAGGUCUAUGUCAUUUUCACAACCUCUCAUAAUGUUUAGAAUGAAUGAAUAUAUAUAUAUAUACAACUUUCAGCAACGGAUCUCUUGGCUCUCGCAUCGAUGAAGAACGCAGCGAAAUGCGAUAAGUAAUGUGAAUUGCAGAAUUCAGUGAAUCAUCGAAUCUUUGAACGCAUCUUGCGCUCCUUGGUAUUCCGAGGAGCAUGCCUGUUUGAGUGUCAUUCAAGCUCUUCAACCGCAUCAAUAAUUAAUGGGGUGGCUUGGACAUGGGGGUUGCAGGCUUCUGUGGAAGUUGGCUCCCCCUAAAAGGAUUAAUGGUUAUUGUUAAGCCCAACCAACAGGGGGGUGAAAAAAAUUUUAAUGCCUUUGGUUAUGCUGUUGAAACCGCUUCGAAAAACAAACCCACAUUUUGAUGAAUUUGACCUCAAAUCAGGUAGGACUACCCGCUGAACUUAAGCAUAUCAAUAAGCGGAGGAAAAGAAACUAACAAGGAUUCCCCUAGUAACUGCGAGUGAAGCGGGAAAAGCUCAAAUUUGAAAUCUGGCGGUUCUUGACCG
rnacentral:rRNA from 1 species